rnacentral:rRNA from 1 species
UACGUAGGUGGCGAGCGUUGUCCGGAUUUACUGGGCGUAAAGAGCGCGCAGGCGGUCGUGCAAGUCGCGUGUGAAAGCCCCCGGCUCAACUGGGGAGGGUCACGCGAUACUGCUCGACUUGAAGGCAGGAGAGGGAAGUGGAAUUCCUGGUGUAGCGGUGAAAUGCGUAGAUAUCAGGAGGAACACCGGUGGUGUAGACGGCUUUCUGGACCGUAACUGACGCUGAGACACGAAAGCGUGGGUAGCAAACAGG